rnacentral:rRNA from 1 species
UGGGGAAUUUUCCGCAAUGGGGGCAACCCUGACGGAGCAACGCCGCGUGAGGGAGGGAGGCCUGUGGGUUGUAAACCUCUUUUCUCAGGGAAGAAGCACUGACGGUACCUGAGGAAUCAGCAUCGGCUAACUCCGUGCCAGCAGCCGCGGUAAGACGGAGGAUGCAAGCGUUAUCCGGAAUUAUUGGGCGUAAAGCGUCCGUAGGCGGCCACUCAAGUCUGCUGUUAAAGGCCGAGGCUCAACCUUGGAUCGGCAGUGGAAACUGAGUAGCUAGAGUUCGGUAGGGGUAGAGGGAAUUCCCAGUGUAGCGGUGAAAUGCGUAGAUAUUGGGAAGAACACCAGUGGCGAAGGCGCUCUACUGGGCCGAGACUGACGCUGAUGGACGAAAGCUAGGGGAGCGAAUGGGAUUAGAUACCCCCGUAGUCC